GUCCACGCCGUAAACGAUGGAUACUAGCUGUUAGGCGCAAGUUUAGUGGUUAAGCGAAAGUGAUAAGUAUCCCACCUGGGGAGUACGGGCGCAAGCCUGAAACUCAAAGGAAUUGACGGGGGCCCGCACAAGCGGUGGAGCAUGUGGUUUAAUUCGAUGAUACGCGAGGAACCUUACCAAGGCUUAAAUGGGAAUUGACCGGAGUGGAAACAUUCUUUUCGCAAGACAAUUUUCAAGGUGCUGCAUGGUUGUCGU
rnacentral:rRNA from 1 species